rnacentral:rRNA from 1 species
GACGAACCGUGCGAACGUUGUUCGGAUUCACUGGGCUUAAAGGGCGCGUAGGCGGGCUUGUAAGUCAGGGGUGAAAUCCUCCGGCUCAACCGGAGAACAGCCUUUGAUACUGCAAGUCUCGAGGGAGAUAGGGGUCUGUGGAACUUCCGGUGGAGCGGUGAAAUGCGUAGAUAUCGGAAGGAACGCCGGUGGCGAAAGCGACGGACUGGAUCUCAUCUGACGCUGAGGCGACGAAAGCUAGGGUAGCGAACGGG